CUAGUACAAUAUCCACAAAACAUUACAUUGAUCUGAUAUGCAAACUACUCUAUGAUUACAUUUUUAAGUUCUAAACCCAUUCUUCUAAGAAUUUUGGAGCUGGUUCUUUCAAAAGUCUCUGAUCCAAAUUUCGCCAUUUUAACAUUCAGGCAUCAGAUAAAUAAUAAAUUAACUGUUUGCAAGAUCCAAUUCCUUAUUGAAAUUCUUAGCAAUGACAAUAAAGGAGUUGGCACAACCACUGUAUCUCCCAUCCGUUCUCCACCAAGCAUCUUUAAAUCAAUUCAUUGCCACUAUCAUCUACACCUCGAAUUAAGGGAGGGCGAUUGGCUGACUUUUUAAUCAAUACUGUAUUAAAGGAGUUGACUUUCAUUCAACAAAAGAUUGCGUCUACUCAAACAAAGUAGGUGAAAAAUCACCAUAAAUUUAUUUCUAUUCAUCUGCUUCCUCUAGCCAUUUUAUUAAAAUUAAGUAUCACCUUUUAUAAUUAAAAAGUAAAAUAAUGCCACCCUUUU
rnacentral:lncRNA from 1 species